rnacentral:rRNA from 1 species
UACGUAGGGGGCAAGCGUUGUCCGGAUUUAUUGGGCGUAAAGAGCUCGUAGGCGGUUCCGUAAGUCAGAUGUGAAAACUCAGGGCUCAACCCGGAGACGCCAUCUGAUACUGCGGUGACUGGAGUCUGGUAGGGGAACACGGAAUUCCUGGUGUAGCGGUGAAAUGCGCAGAUAUCAGGAGGAACACCGGUGGCGAAGGCGGGUCUCUGGGCCGAUACUGACGCUGAGGAGCGAAAGCGUGGGGAGCGAACAGG